rnacentral:rRNA from 1 species
AUUGAACGCUGGCGGCAGGCUUAACACAUGCAAGUCGAGCGGAGAUGAGGUGCUUGCACCUUAUCUUAGCGGCGGACGGGUGAGUAAUGCUUAGGAAUCCGCCUAUUAGUGGGGGACAACAUUCCGAAAGGAAUGCUAAUACCGCAUACGUCCUACGGGAGAAAGCAGGGGAUCUUCGGACCUUGCGCUAAUAGAUGAGCCUAAGUCGGAUUAGCUAGUUGGUGGGGUAAAGGCCUACCAAGGCGACGAUCUGUAGCGGGUCUGAGAGGAUGAUCCGCCACACUGGGACUGAGACACGGCCCAGACUCCUACGGGAGGCAGCAGUGGGGAAUAUUGGACAAUGGGGGGAACCCUGAUCCAGCCAUGCCGCGUGUGUGAAGAAGGCCAUGUGGUUGUAAAGCACUUUAAGCGAGGAGGAGGCUACUGAGACUAAUACUCUUGGAUAGUGGACGUUACUCGCAGAAUAAGCACCGGCUAACUCUGUGCCAGCAGCCGCAGUAAUAC